rnacentral:tRNA from 1 species
AAGGGAGACCUAAUUCCGGUAGGAGACGAAAAAAAAGUAGUCCCUACCAAGAAUCAAUCCCAAAAGGUCGGAACGAGGUAUGAGGCUUUCAAACUAGGUUCUGGGUUCAUAAAAGACCAGAAUCAGGAACAAGGGCUAUUAGCUCAGGUGGUUAGAGCGCACCCCUGAUAAGGGUGAGGUCCCUGGUUCGAGUCCAGGAUGGCCCACCUGCACAGGUGGCAAAAACAAGAGAAGCGAGGAAUCAGCACCUUAUCUUAUAUACAUAUAUAAGAGAGAAUGCUGGCUCUGAGUACAGAGUCCAGAGGAACCUUGAAAACUGCAUAGAGCUAGGUGAAAAAGCCAAAAAAGAAGACCGCAAGGUCAAGCUAAUAAGGGCUAACGGUGGAUACCUAGGCAC